AGUCCAACUAAAUAUGUGAUGAAGCUCUAAAACUGUCCUGCUAUAUAUGCAUUGUUCUCACAAACACACGCAAACUAUGACGCAAUUUAGCAAAACUUUAAGAGGAAUUUAUUCCAGCAACUUACAGUACACCAAAUCUUGGGCACCGCCAUUGUACUUACAUAAAAUUACAUGAUUGAUUAAUGCAAACUGACGGUGGCUGUUCCAUGGAGGAUGGUGUGUCGACUUCAGCUCCAGUCGGUGCAGAAACAAGAUUAAUGACUCCCAUACAAAAACUGCAGGUGCCGCACACGAACACAGGCCGAUGGCAAUUUUUUUUUAAUUAAAUGCUGCGGACGACGGUAAACUAAUGAAUAAGAAAAUUAUUUGCUCUCAAAUGUCAACUUAGCGGUGAUUCUGUGAAGUGUCGAUGUAACUCAAAGGUAAACCUAUUCUAUAAUCAAAUUGAUCCCUACGAAUUAGGUGUUCUGAAUAUCGCAUCAAGUUUAUCAGACAUAAUUUUAAUUUUAGUUAUGGAAGCCUACAGGGUUUG
rnacentral:lncRNA from 1 species